rnacentral:lncRNA from 1 species
CUCUCAUUAAAGGUCUGGGGUCUGCUCAUUACAGGUCUGGGGGUCUCAUUCUAAGGUCUGGGGUCUCUCAUUACGGUCUGGGGUCUCAUUAAGGUCUGGGGUCUCUCAUUUAAGGUCUGGGGUCUCUCAUUAUG